GUCUGUGGCUAUACCACCCUGAACACACCUAAUCCCAUCUGAUCUUGGAAGCUAAGCAGGUUCAGGCCUGAUUAGUACUUGGAUGAGAGAUCUUGGUGGGUUUUAGAUGGCUUCUUCUAACC
rnacentral:rRNA from 1 species